rnacentral:lncRNA from 1 species
CCAUGGGUGGAAUGUCAAUUAUAACCGUGUCACAAUUAUAACUGUCUCAAAGGAAGAAGAAAGAUGUCUACCCCUUUUUGUAUAGUUUAUUUGCCUUCAAAUCUAGCAAUCUAUUUCUUUGGAGGAAAAAAAAAUAGUUAUUUGGAUGAUGUAUUAACUUUGAGCUUUAAGACACUUAUUUGGCCGGAUUCCUUCCCCAGAAAACAAAGUCAA